CUACGGGGCGCAGCAGUGAGGAAUAUUGCACAAUGGGGGGAACCCUGAUGCAGCAACGCCGCGUGGAGGAUGACGCAUUUCGGUGUGUAAACUCCUUUUAUAUGUCAAGAAAAUGACGGUAGCAUAUGAAUAAGCACCGGCUAACUCCGUGCCAGCAGCCGCGGUAAUACGGAGGGUGCAAGCGUUACUCGGAAUCACUGGGCGUAAAGGACGCGUAGGCGGGCUUGUAAGUCAGGUGUGAAAUCCUACAGCUUAACUGCAGAACUGCACUUGAAACUACGAGCCUAGAGUAUGGGAGGGGGAGAUGGAAUUAGUGGUGUAGGGGUAAAAUCCGUAGAUAUCACUAGGAAUACCUAAAGCGAAGGCGAUCUCCUGGAACAUAACUGACGCUAAGGCGCGAAAGCGUGGGGAGCAAACAGGAUUAGAUACCCGCGUAGUC
rnacentral:rRNA from 1 species